rnacentral:rRNA from 1 species
UACGGGGGGGGCAAGCGUUGUUCGGAAUUACUGGGCGUAAAGGGUUCGUAGGCGGGAGCUUAAGUCAUGUGUGAAAUCCCCAGGCUCAACCUGGGACGUGCACGUGAAACUGAGCUUCUUGAAUCUUGGAGAGGGUGAUGGAAUUGCUGGUGUAGGAGUGACAUCCGUAGAGAUCAGCAGGAACACCGGAGGCGAAGGCGAUCACCUGGCCAAAGAUUGACGCUGAGGAACGAAAGCGUGGGGAGCAAACAGG